rnacentral:lncRNA from 1 species
AAAUGACACAGACAUUAACAACUAUAGGUCACCGUACGGCCUUCAACAAUGAGCAAAGCCCAUACCGCAAAGUCAGCUAUAAAAGAUAUGACAAUGUAAAAUAAUUCAAACGAGAAAACUAACGGCCUUAUUUGUAUAAAAAAAAAUGAACGAAAAACAAAUAUGUAACACCUAAACAAACGACAACCAUUGAAUUACAGGCUCCUGACUUUGGACAGGCACAUACAUAAAUAAUGUGGCGGGGUAAGACAUGUUAGCGGGAUACCAACCCUCCCCCUAACCUGAGACAGUGGUAUAACAGUACAACAUAAGAACGAACUAUAAAAAUCAAUGGAAAAGGC